UGGCAGACCUGCCUUCGCCAGCGCCA
rnacentral:piRNA from 1 species